rnacentral:rRNA from 1 species
GACGAACGCUGGCGGCGUGCUUAACACAUGCAAGUCGAACGGAAAGGCCCUGCUUUUGUGGGGUGCUCGAGUGGCGAACGGGUGAGUAACACGUGAGUAACCUGCCCUUGACUUUGGGAUAACCUCAGGAAACUGGGGGUAAUACCGGAUAGGAGCUACUGCUGCAUGGUGGGGGCUGGAAAGUUUCGGCGGUUGGGGAUGGACUCGCGGCUUAUCAGCUUGUUGGUGGGGUAGUGGCUUACCAAGGCUUUGACGGGUAGCCGGCCUGAGAGGGUGACCGGCCACAUUGGAACUGAGCGACGACCCAGACUCGUCCGGGAGGCAGCGGUGGGGAAUAUUGCACAAUGGGCGGAAGCCUGAUGCGGCAACGCAGCGUGCGGGAUGACGGCCUUCGGGUUGUAAACCGCUUUCGCCUGUCACGAAGCGUGAGUGACGGUAAUGGGUAAAGAAGCUCCGGCUAACUCCGUG